rnacentral:lncRNA from 1 species
AAAAAAACUAUUUGAUUCUUACAUUUGAUACAAAUUUCUAUUCUUCAAACUCUCGUUUUCUAACUGCUGUCAGACGUUUAUAUUUUCUUACUGUUUCUGGGUCUCUCUCACUUUCUGGGGUUUUUUUUUGUCCCGUAUAGGCAUAUCCCGCACACCAAUUAUAUUUUUCUUAAAAUUACCAGUUGGACCGUUUAAGUGCACUUUGCAAAGUAAGAAUUUAUUGCAGGAACAUAUUUAAGUGAACAAGCCAAGCGAAACAUAAAAGGCGGACGAACAUGUUGGUGAGAGUGCUUCUACACACCAAAGACAUAAUUGAUUAGGAGUUAUGUACUCAGACUUAACAGGAUGCUUUUACACAGCAGUUAUAUUGAUCUUUUGAAGACAUAUCCACGGCUUCUUGCAACAUCAGUAAUGGCAUCGAACAUUUUGAUGUCACUUUAUUUUAAAUUGAUAGAUUCUUUGACAUUAAUGUCUCUUAAGCAAAGCGCUAGAGGCGUCUCAGCAAGUUUAUGCUACAUAAAAAUCAGAGUAUUAUCCCCCUGUAUAACGUUUGGAAGAGAGAGAGAGAAAUCCGUUUUCGUCUUCAGUUUCUUUCUUCUUGUGCAACGAAAACAUAAUUAAAUUUGUUCUUCGUUAAUUGUUUUUAAUUUCAUUGCUCGUCUCAUUAUUUGUUUUCCUUUGUCUUAAUUUAAUUGCCAUAUUCCAAUAGGAAAAUAAUUAUAUUUCGCUUUGGCAGGGAAAUUUCUUUAAAUUCAUUUCACGUUACAUUUUUUGAGGGAUAUUUCCCUAUUCUUGGAGAAAAUUACUGUCUAAAGGAAAGUAUAGAGAAAAAUGAUGCAAAGUGUUUAUUUGUAACUAAAGAUGAAAAUUCUCUUUGUUUUUUUUAGGGAUAAAUAAAAAUUGUUGAAAGGAAAAUAUAUUUUUGAAUUAAACUUUAAUGAGAAUUUUCUUUAUUUAAAAUUUCCCUAACAAAAUAAAAUACUUUAAUCUAC